UACGUAGGGGCAAGCGUUGUCCGGAAUGACUGGGCGUAAAGGGCGCGUAGGCGGCUCUGUAAGUCCGGAGUGAAAGUCCAGCUUUUAAGGUUGGAAUUGCUUUGGAAACUGUGGGGCUUGAGUGCGGAAGAGGUAAGUGGAAUUCCCAGUGUAGCGGUGAAAUGCGUAGAGAUUGGGAGGAACACCAGUGGCGAAGGCGACUUACUGGGCCGUAACUGACGCUGAGGCGCGAAAGCGUGGGGAGCGAACAGGAUUAGAUACCCUGGUAGUCCCUGAGCGGG
rnacentral:rRNA from 1 species